UCUCUGGUGGUCUAGUGGUUAGGACUCUGCAUUUUCACUGCCAAGGGCCUGGGUUCAAUCCCUGGUUGAGGAA
rnacentral:tRNA from 1 species